CUUGGUCAUUUAGAGGAAGUAAAAGUCGUAACAAGGUUUCCGUAGGUGAACCUGCGGAAGGAUCAUUAAUGGUGCUUGCAGAAAUGCUUGCACGGCGGCGGCCUUAAAACGCGCCAAAUGGCACCCUUUGUUUACGAGUACCGUUCGUUUCCUCGGUGGGCUUGCCUGCCAUGAGGACCAACAAAAACCUUUUGUAGUAGCAGUAUCUUCAGUAAAAACAAAUAUUAAAACUUUCAACAACGGAUCUCUUGGUUCUGGCAUCGAUGAAGAACGCAGCGAAAUGCGAUAAGUAAUGUGAAUUGCAGAAUUCAGUGAAUCAUCGAAUCUUUGAACGCACAUUGCGCCCUCUGGUAUUCCGGGGGGCAUGCCUGUUCGAGCGUCAUUACAACCCUCAAGCUCUGCUUGGUAUUGGGCUACACCCGACUGGGUGGGCCUUAAAAUCAGUGGCGGUGCCAUCUGGCUCUAAGCGUAGUAAUUCUUCUCGCUCUGGAGAUCUAGGUGUUUGCUUGCCAGCAACCCCCAAUUUAUCAAAGGUUGACCUCGGAUCAGGUAGGGAUACCCGCUGAACUUAAGCAUAUCAAUAAGCGGAGGA
rnacentral:rRNA from 1 species